GGAUCAUCAGGUUGGUCGUGCCUCUGGUAUGUACUUUCUUCGAUGGUUCCUCCUUCUUGAAGAUCCGUAAUGUCAUUAAUUUGGUGUUGCGGGGAAUCAGGACUGUUACUUUGAAAAAAUUAGAGUGUUUAAAGCAGGCACACGCUUGAAUACAUUAGCAUGGAAUAAUGAAAUAGGACGUUUGACCCUAUUUUGUUGGUUUCUAGGGUUGACGUA
rnacentral:rRNA from 1 species